AACGAACGCUGGCGGCAUGCCUAACACAUACAAGUCGAACGAGAUCUUCGGGUCUAGUGGCGCACGGGUGCGUAACGCGUGGGAAUCUGCCCUUUGGCUCGGAAUAACAGUUAGAAACGACUGCUAAUACCGGAUGAUGACGAAAGUCCAAAGAUUUAUCGCCAGAGGAUGAGCCCGCGUAGGAUUAGCUAGUUGGUGUGGUAAAGGCGCACCAAGGCGACGAUCCUUAGCUGGUCUGAGAGGAUGAUCAGCCACACUGGGACUGAGACACGGCCCAGACUCCUACGGGAGGCAGCAGUGGGGAAUAUUGGACAAUGGGCGAAAGCCUGAUCCAGCAAUGCCGCGUGAGUGAUGAAGGCCUUAGGGUUGUAAAGCUCUUUUACCCGGGAUGAUAAUGACAGUACCGGGAGAAUAAGCUCCGGCUAACUCCGUGCCAGCCGCCGCCGUAA
rnacentral:rRNA from 1 species